CCAGAAUGAAAGUGCGGAAGAGGAACAAGAGUUGUCUGAUGUGUUCAUGAAGACUUUGCAGUAAACACAGAGGUUCUCCAAGUUGAAGAACCAAGAAACAGUUGGAGCUGUGAGAAUCUGCUGAUGUCAAAGAAGCUGCACAAGUUUGAGCUGGCUUCACUGGCCAACCUUUGUCCUCACGAUCGAGGAGGCUGAGGAGGCAAAGUCCCUAAUACUCAGGAACAACAGUAGUUUCAGACCCUUAUACCCAGAUUUUGAGCUGGCGAGUGGGUUUAGAGGAGCCCCACCUUGUGGUCAUGGUGACCACUCACCACACUUACAUGCUGCACCAAGUGGGGAACAGACCUGUGCCACCUAGUUAAGUGUACUAGGAUUAGGAUUUUGACAAACUUGGUAGAGGACCACUAGAGUGCCACCAUACAAUGUUACAUGCAAGAUUCCAAACACCUGGGCCCUGCAAGAACAUGCAAGAUUCCAAACCACUGGGACAUGCAAGAUACCAAACCUCUGGGCCGUGCAGUUUCAGUGAAGAUUGUUAAGUUUUUGUUGAGUAGAAACAAGUAACUCCUAGGGCAUGGCCAGUUUUAAACUGAGCGGCAUGAACACACUUAGUGAUGGACCACUACAUGAUGUUACAGGACAUAUACCUAACCUACAGGCCUUGCUGUUUCAGAGAUUUUUUAUAGUAAACAUAUACAAAAAUCAAGUUACACCCUGGGUGUGAUAAAGUUUGACCCUAGUUGCAUUAUUUGAACAAACUUGUUAGAAGUCCAACAUAGACUUCCAUGCCAGACGACAAAUUGCUGGGCUUUGGGUUUUAUGGAAGAUUUGUGA